CUAGUAACUCGAUUCUGUUCUUAAUUGAAUGGAAUAGCAGUUCUUCGGAGUUGUCGGUUUAUAUUUUUGGCUCCUCCAUAAUGUGGAUUGGUGUAAAAGCCUUGAAGUGUUAUGAGUGGAUCAAGUCAAAGGUGUAAAUUGGAGUUCUAGUUCAUUUACUUUGAGAAAAUUAGAGUGUUUAAAGCAGCCUCUUGGGGCUCUGAAUACAUUAGCAUGGGAUAAUAGAAUAGGAUUUGAAUAAUAUAUUUAUUGGUUUGAAUUGUUUAAAUAAUGAUUAAUAGGGACAGUUGGGGGUAUUUAUAUUGGAUGGUUAGCGGUGAAAUGCAUGGAUCCAUUCAAGAUAAACUAAAGCGAAAGCAUUUACCAAGGAUGUUUUCAUUAAUCAAGAACGAAAGUUAAGGGAUCGAAGAUGAUCAGAUACCGUCGUAGUCUUAACUAUAAACUAUGCCGACCAGGGAUAUGAGUUGUUAUGAAUGCUUUUUUGAGUAUUCGAUUUCCUCUUGUGGACCUUGUGAGAAAUCAUAAGUUUUUGGGUUCUGGGGGGAGUAUGGUCGCAAGGCUGAAACUUAAAGGAAUUGACGGAGGGGCACCACCAGGAGUGGAGCGUGCGGCUUAAUUUGACCCAACACGGGAAAACUUACCAGGUCCAGACAUUAGAAGGAUUGACAGAUUGAUAGCUCUUUCAUGAUUUAAUGGGUGGUGGUGCAUGGCCGUUCUUAGUUGGUGGAGUGAUUUGUCUGGUUAAUUCCGAUAACGAACGAGACCUUUACCAUACUAAAUAGUUUUGCUUAUGUUUUACAUAGGUACUAUAACUUCUUAGAGGGACUAUUGGUUCUUAAACCAAAGGAAGUAAAGGCGAUAACAGGUCUGUGAUGCCCUUAGAUGUUCUGGGCUGCACGCGCGCUACAAUGAUAAGCUCAACGAGUAUUUAUUUUAUUAUAUUGCUGUGUAGGAAUGCAUGGCUAAUCUUAAACGCUUAUCGUGCUUGGGAUAGAUGAUUGCAAUUAUUUAUCUUGAACCAGGAAUUCCUAGUAAUCGUAUAUCAUCAGUGUGCGAUGAUUACGUCCCUGCCCCUUGUACACACCGCCCGUCGCUGCUACCGAUUGGAUGGUCCGGUGAAAUCCCUGGAUAUCGAUGAAUACUUUGACUUCGUGUUAAAGUUCAUUGAUAGAAGUUGAUUAAACCUUAUCAU
rnacentral:rRNA from 1 species